CCUACGGGAGGCAGCAGUGGGGAAUAUUGCACAAUGGGGGAAACCCUGAUGCAGCAACGCCGCGUGAAGGAAGACGGUUUUCGGAUUGUAAACUUCUGUUCUUAGUGAAGAAGAAUGACGGUAUCUAACGAAUAAGCACCGGCUAACUCCGUGCCAGCAGCCGCGGUAAUACGGAGGGUGCAAGCGUUACUCGGAGUCACUGGGCGUAAAGAGCGCGUAGGCGGGAUAGCAAGUCAGAUGUGAAAUCCUAUGGCUUAACCAUAGAACUGCAUUUGAAACUGUUAUUCUAGAGUAUGGGAGAGGUA
rnacentral:rRNA from 1 species